GGGACUGUAGUUCAACCGGUUAGAGCACUGCCCUGUCACGGCAGAAGUUGCGGGUUCGAAUCCCGUCAGUCCCG
rfam:Halothece sp. PCC 7418, complete genome.